UACAGAGGGUGCGAGCGUUGUCCGGAAUCACUGGGCGUAAAGGGCGCGUAGGCGGCCUGGUAAGCGUGCGGUGAAAGCCCGGGGCUCAACCCCGGGUCGGCCGUGCGAACUGCGAGGCUGGAGCACUGUAGAGGCAGGUGGAAUUCCGGGUGUAGCGGUGGAAUGCGUAGAUAUCAGGAGGAACACCUGUGGCGAAAGCGGCUCACUGGACCACAACUGACGCUGAGGCGCGAAAGCUAGGGGAGCAAACAGG
rnacentral:rRNA from 1 species